rnacentral:rRNA from 1 species
AUUGAACGCUGGCGGCAGGCCUAACACAUGCAAGUCGAGCGAGCGGCGGACGGGUGAGUAAUGUAUGGGGAACUGCCUGAUAGAGGGGGAUAACUACUGGAAACGGUGGCUAAUACCGCAUACUAUCAGAUGAACCCAUAUGGGAUUAGCUAGUAGGUGGGGUAAAGGCUCACCUAGGCGACGAUCCCUAGCUGGUCUGAGAGGAUGAUCAGCCACACUGUAACUGAGACACGGGCCAGACUCCUACGGGAGGCAGCAGUGGUGAAUAUGGCACAAUGGGCGCAAGCCUGAUGCAGCCAUGCCGCGUGUAUGAAGAAGGCCGUCGGGUUGUAAAGUACUUUCAGAGGGGAGGCGUUACCCGCAGAAGAAGCACCGGCUAACUCCGUGCCAGCAGCCGCGGUAAUUC